CUUUAUUAGGCCUCAAAUAGUAUUUUUUCAUGCUACACAAGCAACAGGAACUGCUUGAGUGGAAAUGUUUCCCUGGCCCGUUCACAAUGUUGAACGUCUUUGCUUUCAUUCCCAGACUCAGACAUGUCUCUCCCAUCUUGCACAUAUAGACCCUACAUUUGUGUGAUUUAUUUCCCCCCCUCUCCCUAAAUGUGCUAUCAUUUAGAUUAUUUCUUGUUUCUGACUACUUGUCCAAAUUAUAAAUGCCUCACUUAAUUCCAUCAUAUUCCAGGGCCCUGGUUCUCCACCAAGAUUGGUGAAUAAAGACUCCUGUGUCAGUUUACACUGCAGCUUGACAAAUGCUGAUGCCACCACUGCUGAAACUCCACUCCUCAAAUGACAGAGGAACCUUCCAGCAAGCCUCACACCUGCCUUCAGAAGGAGCAAGCACAUCAUGAUGCUGAGCUCCCCUCUGACCACAGACACAGCUCUAAAGACACACCCACCUACCUGCUGAAGGGGGUGAGACCAGGGCAAGGAGCAACUUCUAAAAUAAGCACUCACUCUCUGUCUUACCCAUAAGCAGCCCCAUAAGUACUGGUAGAAUCGUCUGCUUUCUAUUUCUCCCAGCCUCCUAGUUCCCUAGACUCUGGCCCUCUAGACCAGCAUAACCUGUUAUAGCUUCUCUCUCACCUUGGUUCCCUGGGCUUGACUUCUGGCCUCCUGGACCCCUGGGCAUUGCCUUGGAGUGCAGGCUGGGGCUCUGAAGCUCAGCCUUUGCUCACACACCCUCGCCAUCUGCAGACUGCCCCUGUCUGGCCCGAUGAGGUUCUGCGUCCUGGCCAUUUGCCCAAGCCUUGGCACACAGUGGUCACAGUUUAAGGAAUCAGUUUGGACCCUGCCUGCCAGCUCCUGCCUUCCUCAGCCCCUCCCAGCUGGAGCCAUGAGAUGCCAUCCUCCAGGCAACCUUGAGUGAGCAGUGCGUCUCCCAGUUCAAUGGGCAAACAAACCCACUGGGGAUCAGGCCAACAUGGAUAUUCUGAUUCAUUAGGUCUGAGGUGGGAUCAGAUAUCUGUGUUUCCAAGUGAUGUGAAUAGCUCAUGAACUUCACUUUGAGGAGUAGGAAUGAGAAUGUAUAGACUAGCAACCUCAUCCUCACCUGGGGAUAGGUCUGGAAUAGGUUGGUUGUAUUGUUGUUUUUUUAUUUGUUAAACAAUUUUCUAUGUGGCCAUUGCUGUGUUUCUAAGGUCCAUUCUUUGCUUUGAAGGAACUUACAGUCUAGUAGUGUUUAUAUUGAGCUUAUGUGCUUUAUAUACACUGAGAGGCCAGAUUAUUAUGACCACUCCAUCAGUAUUUCGUUGGGCCACCUUUUGCCUUCUAUACUGCGGCGAUUCUUCUUGGCAUUGACUCCACGAGAUGUUGA